UAUCCAAAGUAUCCACAUCAAUGUUUCAUCUAAAACACUUGCCAAUGUUACACAUCACAUAUGAUUUCACAGACUUCCAUCAGCUGUUUGGCCGUCGUCCGCACGAGCCACCGGAGAUUUGGAGCUUCGGGUUUCAUCGGCAAAGAAAGCAAGUAUCUCUGAUUCAUGUCGACUUCAGAACUAGAUUUCCACUGGGACCAUUAAAUUGUUUCUGAUUUGCCGACGGCAGGUACAGUUUCAACCCGUGAGGUCUCCGGCAGCCCGACUAUCACCGCCGAUCACGCCGGACAAGGAUUGACUCAAGGGUUGAGGCACAUCCAUCUUCUGCAUCUCCAUUGCCAGAUAAAAGUUGGUUGUUCUAGGUACGUAAUGAGAACAGAGCAUGUUAGGCAUAUGUUUUUCAUGGCAAACAACAGUUUCAUGGAUCGGACUCUUUAUCUUUAUCAAUUAUUUGGAACUUGUAUCGGCUUGAUGCUGUAUUCCGUCAAGGCUCUGUGGAGAUGGGCACCGUGAACAUUUCGUAUGUUUUUUUGUCAGGAGUCCUGAAUAUUGUCGGCGGCGGCGAGCUUCAUUAAACGGUGUCCAGAGACGGAGUCAUACUGCGAGCGAGGUAUGUGACGGGCUCCUAUGCAUGGGUUAUAGUUCGUUGAGAUGGGUUCGUGCCUUUUCUGCCUGGGAACAAAUGCGGUAAAAGAUCUGUUGGAAAUUUCUAAAGCUUGAGAAUGCACUUGUUUUAUGGGAUCAUUCUUAGUCUGGCAGCAUCUAGUUCAUCUACCUCCGUGGCAUAUUAAGUGUCUCAUAUGUGCCCAAUUUUCUUGUGUUCGAACUUUAAAUGGGAAGAAAAUAUUACAGAAGAAUACAUGCUGUAGAUCCCUACGAAUUAUGAGGAAGUCUGAUUAUUUAACCAUGUGUGUUUUAUUUUUAAGGUUAAACCUUGUUUACACCGACGUUGUUCUGUCCUGCACCUCUAGCUUCUGCGUUCAGUUAAAGACUGAGCACAGAUUGUUGUUGUUCUGUUCUGGUUUUGUUUUCAUGCUUUGGAUUGGAGACGGGUUAUUGGCAUGCGAGGAAUCCAUGAUUAAUUGGGCUUGUAGUUUCUGGACGCGUUUUGCAGGAGGCGGUUUUUAUGGAUUUAAGCUCGCAGUCCUCAUCCGAGCGGCCGGAUGCUGGAUUGAAGAGAGAUUUGUGCGCUCACCUGUUCGUUACCGUGAGAAGCAUCUGCAGUACCACCCCCCAGUGUUAUGCUGGUGCGGCGUCAAAUCUCCUCGUCCCCUAGAUGUGCUGGCUUUCGGUGGCAUGACGAUGAGUUGCCGUGGUUCGUGAACCAGCUGCUGCUAGACCUCCGCCAUAACCUUGGCAUCCUUGGGAAGGAGAACGGCCGUCUGCACGAUGAAUCGCAGAGGAAGAAUACCAUAGAAUUAGGUAUGGUAUUUGUUGAUCAUAAAACCGUAUGACAUUGUUGUGGUUUAUGCCUUCCCCGUGGUGGCUCAUUCUGUCGUUUAUUCGAUAGAACAUAUACUAUGUUUAUGAGCUGUUGUUGUUGUUCUCAUGGUUUGGGGCUAUCGGUGCCAUGUUCGCAGCAUAUGUAAAGCAGCGGCGGAGCUUCUCGUCCAUUUUCAGGUGGCGGGGUGGGGGAGAUUGUCUGUAUGGAUGCAGGCGAGGGGUCCUCCCCGGAGCGGCAGCAGUCUGGCCGUAGGAGAGAUUGGUCGCCCUCACCUGUCCUCCCCGGUGAGAAGCCUAUGCAGUACCACCCCGCCGUGUUAUGCUGGUGCGGCGACAAAACUCCGCGAUGGAUAUCUUGGAGCAAAAACAAUGCUGGGAGGAGAUAUAAUAGUGGCCUCGAGGUGUGGAUUUUUCCAAUGGCAUGACGAUGAGUAGCCGCAGAUCGUGAACCAGCUCAUGCUAGACCUCCACGAAAACCAGCACAUGCUGGGAAAGGAAUACGAUUGCCUGUAUGGAGAGUUGCUGAGAAUAAAUUCACAAGCUUACAAAUUCCAAAGGAAAAGUCAUCUAUGGAGGCAGGGAGCUCUAUGCAGAAGACGGAAACCCAUGUCAAAGCAAGGGGGUGGUUACAUUCACGGAUUUGCUUCUUCCUGUAUGUAUGGGCGAUAUUUAUUCUCAUGUGGGUUCUUUUCAAGUGUAUUUGAUGUUGACAAUGCACACGUCAAUGUGAAAAAUCUGCAAAGUGUAUGUAACCUGCGUCCUCUGGUAUUUAGGAUCUCUGAGACGUGGAGAUAACAGCUUUCCGACCAUGUUUCAUGGGUUACCUGGUCAGAUUACCAUCGAUGGGCCGCGGUAGUAAUCUGGUCACUUUCUGUGAUUUGGCUGACAGAUAGGAUUAUGCCGGCAGCUGUGUGAUUGGUAUUUACUAGCUAUAUACAUAAAAGUAGUUACGUCCUCCCCGGAGGAUACAGCAAUCGUGAUGCGACAGUGCUUCCAGCUUCUUGGGAUCACGCCAGUUUUAAAGCUGUGAUUGACCAAUGUUUUAUCUUUCAUCCCAUAUUCAUCUUCACACAAACCCCUCAAUGUUUGCAAUUUUUGUCCCUUUUAAGUUGUAUCCCAGUUGGUGCAGCUAACGUAUUCAAAUCGAUUGCCCCAUUUAAUAACAGAAUCAAUCUAUGUAGCAAUUGAUAGUCUAAAAUUUAGUUUUGCUUGGCCCCGGUAUGAUUCCGUAAAGGGGCCCAUUUGAGAACAGAAACGAGCCUAAAUCAAUCAAGUUACCGGGGCAGAGCAAAAUCACUGAUAUGGGGUCAAUAAUAGUUAACGCUGGCUGAGAGGGCAUGUAUAUUGUUUGAAAUGUUGCCGA